GCUAUAGCUCAGGGGCGGAGUAUCACUGCUUGGAAUGCAGAAGGUUGCUGGUUCAAUCCCCCCUGGCUGCU